CGUUAAGAAGCUAACAUAAGCAUUAACCUUUUAAGUUAAAGAUAGGGAACCUACACUUCCCCUUAACGA
rnacentral:tRNA from 1 species